rnacentral:rRNA from 1 species
GUUGAACGCUGGCGGCAUGCCUUACACAUGCAAGUCGAACGGCAGCAUGAUCUAGCUUGCUAGAUUGAUGGCGAGUGGCGAACGGGUGAGUAAUACAUCGGAACGUGCCCUGUAGUGGGGGAUAACUAGUCGAAAGAUUAGCUAAUACCGCAUACGACCUGAGGGUGAAAGUGGGGGACCGCAAGGCCUCAUGCUAUAGGAGCGGCCGAUGUCUGAUUAGCUAGUUGGUGAGGUAAAGGCUCACCAAGGCGACGAUCAGUAGCUGGUCUGAGAGGACGAUCAGCCACACUGGGACUGAGACACGGCCCAGACUCCUACGGGAGGCAGCAGUGGGGAAUUUUGGACAAUGGGCGAAAGCCUGAUCCAGCAAUGCCGCGUGUGUGAAGAAGGCCUUCGGGUUGUAAAGCACUUUUGUCCGGAAAGAAAUGGCUCUGGUUAAUACCUGGGGUCGAUGACGGUACCGGAAGAAUAAGAACCGGCUAACUACGUG